rnacentral:rRNA from 1 species
CCUUGCCUACGGGGCGCAGCAGUGAGGAAUAUUGGUCAAUGGGCGGGAGCCUGAACCAGCCACGCCGCGUGAAGGAAGAAGGCGCCAAGCGUCGUAAACUUCUUUUGUCGGGGAACAAAGGGCGCCACGUGUGGCGUUGUGAGUGUACCCGAAGAAAAAGCAUCGGCUAACUCCGUGCCAGCAGCCGCGGUAAUACGGAGGAUCCGAGCGUUAUCCGGAUUUAUUGGGUUUAAAGGGAGCGUAGGUGGAUUGUUAAGUCAGUUGUGAAAGUUUGCGGCUCAACCGUAAAAUUGCAGUUGAAACUG